UGAGACACGGCCCAGACUCCUACGGGAGGCAGCAGUAGGGAAUCUUCCGCAAUGGACGAAAGUCUGACGGAGCAACGCCGCGUGAGUGAUGAAGGUUUUCGGAUCGUAAAGCUCUGUUGUUAGGGAAGAACAAGUGCGAGAGUAACUGCUCGCACCUUGACGGUACCUAACCAGAAAGCCACGGCUAACUACGUGCCAGCAGCCGCGGUAAUACGUAGGUGGCAAGCGUUGUCCGGAAUUAUUGGGCGUAAAGGGCUCGCAGGCGGUUUCUUAAGUCUGCUGUGAAAGCCCCCGGCUCAACCGGGGAGGGUCAUUGGAAACUGGGAAACUUGAGUGCAGAAGAGGAGAGUGGAAUUCCACGUGUAGCGGUGAAAUGCGUAGAGAUGUGGAGGAACACCAGUGGCGAAGGCGACUCUCUGGUCUGUAACUGACGCUGAGGAGCGAAAGCGUGGGGAGCGAACAGGAUUAGAUACCCUGGUAGUCCACGCCGUAAACGAUGAGUGCUAAGUGUUAGGGGGUUUCCGCCCCUUAGUGCUGCAGCUAACGCAUUAAGCACUCCGCCUGGGGAGUACGGUCGCAAGACUGAAACUCAAAGGAAUUGACGGGGGCCCGCACAAGCGGUGGAGCAUGUGGUUUAAUUCGAAGCAACGCGAAGAACCUUACCAGGUCUUGACAUCCUCUGACAACCCUAGAGAUAGGGCUUUCCCUUCGGGGACAGAGUGACAGGUGGUGCAUGG
rnacentral:rRNA from 1 species